rnacentral:sRNA from 1 species
GAAAAUGAAAGGAAUUAGGAUAUAAAAUUGAAUUUCCACAGACAGAGACCAGGUAUGAGUGAA